UACGUAGGGUGCAAGCGUUGUCCGGAAUUAUUGGGCGUAAAGAGCUCGUAGGCGGUCUGUCGCGUCUGCUGUGAAAACUCAGGGCUUAACCCUGAGCUUGCAGUGGGUACGGGCAGACUAGAGUGCGGUAGGGGGAGACUGGAAUUCCUGGUGUAGCGGUGAAAUGCGCAGAUAUCAGGAGGAACACCGGUGGCGAAGGCGGGGUCUCUGGGCCGUAACUGACGCUGAGGAGCGAAAGCAUGGGGAGCGAACAGG
rnacentral:rRNA from 1 species